rnacentral:rRNA from 1 species
AACGAACGCUGGCGGCAUGCCUAACACAUGCAAGUCGAGCGAGACCUUCGGGUCUAGUUGCGCACGGGUGCGUAACGCGUGGGAACCUGCCUUUAGGUUCGGAAUAACUCAGAGAAAUUUGAGCUAAUACCGGAUGAUGUCUUCGGACCAAAGAUUUAUCGCCUUUAGAUGGGCCCGCGUUGGAUUAGCUAGUUGGUGGGGUAAAGGCCUACCAAGGCGACGAUCCAUAGCUGGUCUGAGAGGAUGAUCAGCCACACUGGGACUGAGACACGGCCCAGACUCCUACGGGAGGCAGCAGUGGGGAAUAUUGGACAAUGGGCGAAAGCCUGAUACAGCAAUGCCGCGUGAGUGAUGAAGGCCUUAGGGUUGUAAAGCUCUUUUACACGAGAUGAUAAUGACAGUAUCGGGAGAAUAAGCUCCGGCUAACUACGUG